AGCCUCAUUCUAGAUGAAAAUGGGCAUGGUUGUCUGUGGUGUCCAUGGAUGGUUAAUGUGACACUGAGACACAGGUUAUGCUUUCGUUAUUGCAGGGGCGACAAUGAGACCUGUAACAUUU